CUUAUGUGUAAUAUUGCUUGUUGGUGGUAGAUGGCUGUCGCAUGUGUCUGUGACAUUUCACCCUGCUACAUUUCGGGGUGCAUUGACGAGGGUGGUUGGUAGAGAAAAAAAAAACAAAUGAAAAUGGAAGACACUAAUCCUUGGUGCCUGUUCCGUAAUAGAUACCUUGGAAAAGAGCAACUGUCAAUCUUUCGUCAAUGGUGUACCGCGUAGAAACGGAUGCAGUUGUAAGUUUUUCGAGUUAAUUGGAGUGAUGAUAGAGCAAGAAGGCAGGGCGUUGAAUAGUUUUUUCUUUCAAAACUUGUUGUACAAACAGUCGAAGUUGCACUUAAUGCUGGAUGCUUUUUUUUGCUAAAGUGUCAAGAUUUCACAAUAAUCCAUUAACUUUAUUGUGUAGCAGUGGAAACAGAGUGAUAUUUUGCGAGAUCAAAAUAUAAAUUAAAAACAUUCUUACGGUGAGCUUACAGUGCUUACUGAUAGCACUAACUAGAAACAAAAAACCGCAAUUGUAGAAGGGAAAAAUGGAAACACAGUUUAACAAAUUGCAACUGCCUUGAACAUCUGUAGCAUGGGCAUGAGUCAAAGGCAAUCAAUAAAGGCGCCGUGGAUGGGAGAAGAACAGGAAAGAGAGGGAUGCGCAAAUGAGAGUGAGAUGAGUUUCGAGUUUCCCAGAUUCUCGCGAAGUUCGUUGCGCAAGUGAGAAGGCAGACUAUCGAGGGUAAACGAGUGAGUUGAGGUAGCGAAUCGGUCGGAUUCGAUCGUACUCCGCGAGUACGAAGUGAGCGAGCAAGCGAGAGUGAACGGUUUCAAAAAUACAUACGAAUUUUUACGUUAUAUACCACCAAUGCAUUCAAACGAAGGAAACUUUUAUAGCUUUUUUGUUUUGUAGAAAAGAUUGUGUGGUACAAAUUUUGGGCAGUUUUCUAUCAGAAGUCUUUCAUUCUGAUAGCAUCUUUUUUCAAAUCAACUUUCGCGUCGUCGUCACCGUUUGUCGACAGCUAUCGACUGCGUUGUUCUCAUCAUCAUCGUUGCCGUUUUCUUCCAACUAUCCGUUUGCGUUAGGCCAAACAUCAAGUUACAUUCGUUUUCUCUUACAAUAAGAUGGCCCGGCCGGUUGGUUGGUCCGCAGAACCAGAACCAUUUUGUAGUGGGUGAAUUUCAAUUUCGUCGAUUGCAGGCAAAAAUCGAGCAGUACACAUCUUCGUUACAGUGGAAAACUGGAAGCUUUGAAGUGUGUGUUCCAGUGAAGAUAAGAGAACUUGCGGCUUCUGUACAACAACCAGUAGGCAGGUGAAAUCGACAAAUUCAUGCGAUUGCUCCAACAGUGAACUAGCACAUUUAAAUAGUGAAAAGUGUACGAGAUCAAAGUGAACGAAAAAUAUAUGUAAUUUGCAGUGAAACUUACCAUGAUAGUGUUUGAUGUCUACUGAAUUAUGUACCAAAUGUAGCAUCGUUGACCUUUUAGCAACCGUGUAUAUUUUGUUCGUGUGGUAGUAAAGUGUGUAUACAUGAUAAGAAGCUGAAAAUUAUUCACGUAAGCUCUAGUUUGCAUAGUAUCAACGUGUGUGCGUGCGUGCAUAAAAUAUGAAAUGGUGCAAAUGCAACCUGUCGCAACAUUGUUGUUAAUUGACAUAUCUGGUGGUCGUCGAUGCAUAAAGAAAUACCGAAUUUAGAUGUGUGUGUGUGUGUGUAUGCUAUUCUGUCGAUGAAUCGAAGUGAGUGUUAUCUUAUUGAAUUGUGUAUAAAUUAUGAAGCAACACCGAUAAAUGCAUUGAUGGUUGCGUGCCUUUUCGUAUGUUUCCUAAAGAAAAGAUCCAAAAUGAGUUUAGUGAUGUUUCGAAAUGGAAUGUACCGAAAGGGUUAGAGCAAAUACCGAAAAAAAAACUUUUUGAUCGUGAUUGGUAGUACCGGGAAAUUUGUGUACUCUGUGAUCAUGUAUUCUGUGCGUGUGCGUAUUUGCAGUGAUGGCAAAAAUUGGAAAAAAACACAUCAAGGUGUAAAGUCGAGCUGGCGAUGUCCGUGAUUGUCGAACGUGGAAUAAAGAAAAAUCAGGAUCUUCAACCAUUCGUACGAUUUUUUGUGGAUUAUUAGGUAAGUUAUUUUCUUUUUCCAGUUAGUUAAAUGCACCAAAUAAAAAAAAACAAGGAUCGCACAUUGGCAAAAGACAAAAAAAAAUCUUUCAGAUUUUUUCUUACACAAUGGAGAAUAAUGCCACAGCAUCCUGUUAGACAUGGUUUUAAUAAACAAUAUCGAUUAUUUCCCAUAAAAAUAUGUGGCUACAGCUAACAUAUUCAUAUGCGAUCACAGACACAACAAAAAAAUUAUGGAUAACUAUUACUAUCUUCAUCAAUAAAGUCGUUUUUACAGUAAUACUUUCAAAAUACGUAUUGUUGAAAUGGUCUUUCAAAUAUUGGUAUUUGAAAAUUUACCAAAAAGUGUUUUUUUAUUCGCAAAUACUUUAAUCAAUUUUUGUCUAAAAUGAGCAGAGAUAUGUGUUUUUCAACUAAAAAAGGUUCAAAACAGCCUAGUAAAUAAACCAGGCUAGAUUUCGUUUCAUACUAAAAAUCAUUGACGGGAUAUAAAGUAUGGUUCAAGUAUGAUGAAAUUAAACAUUUUAUGGUUAUUAAUGUCUACAGUAGAAACAAGUUUCUCCUAAAAAGGAGAUAAUUUUUUGUUUGUUUUGUUGUUAAUCGUUCAUCACAAGUAAAACAAAAAACAGCAUCGGUAAAAAUGAAGUUGAUUAUAAAGAUAUUGGCUACACAAAAGCUUAAGGAUAUAAAUGGAGUUGUUGUUUCUUACCAAAAUUGGUCCAUGUGUGGCAUUUGAUUUGUUACGUGUUCACCGUGUGUUAUUGAGAAGACAACACUAUCCGGCAUAUUCUUUUUUCAUUUCCAAAUACCAUAAUUAGUUUUAUCCCCAGAAAGUUUCCCGCACUAGAGCAUUUGGCGAACCAGAUGUGACACUUUUAAUCAACUUACAUAGUGGAGCACUAUAUUGCGUUUAUUUGCUGAAUAUUUUUCUUGAAAGAGCAGAAGAUUGGAACUACUUGGCCAAUAAAGUGCGAAAGUGGCUGUGGAUUAGUGUAUCCCUACCUGCAACAAAAUAUAUUUGUUUCAUUUUCAGCUAGCAUUUGGUUCGAUUCUACGCGUAUGAUGCUCUUUGUUUUAGUCGGUUAAAACAGUAGAAACAGAAGGUGGACGAAUUAUGUUUAGUACAAUUUUCCUUAAAUAAAUGUUUUGGAAAUUUUUAGAAUAAAAAUAACAGAAAGUUUUUCGUAGAAGUAGUAAAACUUUCUUCAAUAUGAAAUUUUCUCUCGAAUGCUUCUAAAUAUUGAUUCGACUUUAAAAUCUGCAAAACCUUCACCUAUGUGCGAAUAACUUGUUAGCAAAUACUUCGAAGCCGAAACUUCACAGAAAAAUGGAAAUUUCAUUAAUAUGCAAAUAAGAACGUUCUGUUUUAGUGCAUAUUUUAUAACGCUUCAAAGCCCUCGGAUCUACUGUUCUGGGUAAAGCGCGUUCGAUAAUACCGAUGGGAUUUGCCACAAAAAGGCAGCAGAGAAGGAAUGGCAGCUUUUGUAUGAAGUUUUUUCCGUUAUAAUACUUUUCGUCGUAUCUUUUGUUUUUGCUGAUUACUUUUAAAACAAACAUUUAUUUGCGUGGUGAUAAAUUCCAUAAAAAAAUUUCCCGACCAUUUUGUUUGAAUGUGUGCUUCAUUACUGUUAAGUUUCCAAAUGAUGAAAUAUUACAGUAAUAUUACACAUAGAAUUCUAUUGUAAUGCUUCUCUAUUGAUUUGCACACUAUAAGGGUAAUUAGCACCAUUCGCAGCAGGAUUAAGACCGAGAGCAUAAUCAAAAACUUUUUCCGUAUUUUUUUUAAUCAAAAUGUAGGAAAUAAUCGGUGCAGUGAUAGCAUUCGUUUUAUGCUCACAUCUGCGUUGAUGCUAAAGAAAAUAUGAAACUUUUGUUUCAACUCGCUGUCAUCUAAACUGAUGACAGAAGUAAUAUUCCGCGCUGGAAUCAAAAAUGGAACAAAUCCAAAAAACCACCCUACGGAGCAGAGUUUUCUAACCAAGCGGCUACCUGUGAUAUGUCGUUGUAGUUGCUACGAUGUUCUUACAAAGCAAAGCGAACAACAAAAAAAGAAGUAGCCAACGGAAUAUCAGAAUCACACAAAAUUUGUUAUUCUAAUUUAUAUUCAAUGGAGGGCAAAAGCCGAAAUCCAUGGUAAACUAAAAAACUGAGGAAAAAAAGGUCGAAACAAAGCCUAACAAAACAGAGAUGGGAGCUAGCGGGAUAGGUUGGGCGGUUGCAGAUAAUUGGAAUAUUGGGGACUCAAAUGAGAAGGCCAUGGAAAACAAAAAAUACAAAAGCACUACCAAAUUUAAAAGGGAAGGGAAUUACUUCACCUAAACUCAUCCAAUGCUUUGAAUUUGUUAGGUCGGUUGGGAAUAGCAUAGUUCUUACGUAUAUCUUAUUUGUGUUGGUUUUAUUUUUGUUUCUUACUUUCAAGUCGGUGGAUUUUGGUGAUGGUUUCGGGUCUCAACCAUGUGAUGUCAAGCAACGCUGAUUAUAUUUUUUCAGUCUUACAUUAUGACAUUGAGUGUUUGGCAUUAAAGAAAACAGACAAGUAGUCUGCGGUGGCGUCCAAUUAAAAACGCUACUAAAUGGACCGUGUUUCCCUUGACGGCAACUGUAACAACACUAUUGAAAGUAUAAACGGCUAACCCGCGGAAAGGGUUUCAAUUGCUAAAAUAUGAAUCAUUUCAGGUGCGAAGUGAACCUCUACUCAAUACUCAAGUAAUGAUGAUGGAUGUGCAAAGAAAGCACAAGCGAAAGAAUAUUAAAUGUGCACCUUCUCAAAACUAUUCUCAGUAGAUUUUUGGUCAGUUGAAUUGCGGAAUAAUUUAAUCAAUUAUUGAGCAUGUCGUUCCAUUUCCAUUUGACUCUUGAUGAACUGCAAAUGCAUAGCACAAAGCUUUUUAAAGUUCAUAAGUUCGACAUGAUGGUGUGACUAGACAGUAAUGGAAGAACCGUGGAAAUCGUGUUUUUUCAUCAUUAAUUACGUUUCACCUCAUUCAUAUCCGUACAAUGUAAAAGAGAUGAAAUACUACUCGUUGGUUAUUAUUUUUUAUUAGAAUAGUAUGCUUCAAUGUAUUGCGUGAAAUCAAAUGUCUGUAUUGUUUUUACUACAAUUAAUUGAUUUGUAAGAAUACAUUGAGUUUAAUUAACGUGAUUGCGCGUUUGGGGCUGCAUUUAUUAUUAAUGAAUUAGUUUUUGGAAGUCUUCAGCCCUGCUGCUGCAUGAUUUAUGAACGUUCCGUGAGUAUUAUUUUCGGUGGUAUGGUUUCAAGAGUCUAUGCUUUGAAAUAAUAGUUUUAGUCACGUAUCAUGUAACAGUUACUUGAAACAAAUGCUGGUAUAGCAUAUACAAUAAUGAUGUAUCGAUGGUUUGUAAAUGUUUUCAACAAUCAUCUAACCCUGCACAAACGAGUUCUCAGAGAUUGUGUGGCUGCCAAUGUUAGACUAGACUCGAACGAAGAUUUGUUUUCAAAAUUUCUAGCUGAAGGGUACGCAUCCGGAGCCAUAAAUUUUAGGCGUCGUGUUGACAAACGUUAACCAUAUCGUUUCACAUUGUAAAAUCUGUACAAACAAUAACAACCACUGUGGUCUUAUGAUUGGAAUGAAGUCUUGAAGUCUACCUAUUGACACCACAAGAAUGUGACGUUUGCUAGCGUUUGGUUAACGCCUGGAGGCAGCGGUGCAAUUCCUGCUCUUGUUGAUUGCUACAAAUAUUCCACAGCGGCGCAGCACUUAUACAAGCGGUGUGGUAGUAAAGUUAGCUAAAAAAUGACCCUAUUAACGUCACCGAUAACACCAGUCGAGCUUACAGAGCGUAAACAAAAUCCUGCCUUCAAAUAACGGUCGCUUUGCAAGCUUCACAAAAGGCUCAAGCGAAGGUUUUCAUUGGGCGAGCCACUCCCUGCAUUGCCACUUUUGGCAUCGAUGACAUUUAUGAUAAAUGAUAGUUAUUCGUAAAAAAGGAACAAUUGUGGAACCAGACGUUUGCCAACAACAACUAACCGGUGGAAGAAUGGUGGUGGAAAUUUUUGGUAGCAUGCAAAUAAAAAUCGGUAUUUUGCAGCUACUAAGUUCAAGGAUUUUCCUUCACGCAAUACCAUUAUCCCUUGCUAACCAUUAUCGCUUUGCGUAAGAGACUUCCAGCAGUGUUUUGUAUUGUAUUAAGUUGUUUUCUAACAUUAGCAACACGAUCUGAUCGAUCUUAUCGAUUAAAAAAUGAUUCGACUAUAUUUAAUUAUAAUCAUGAAAUUACUGUGGUGCUAGGAGACAUGCAAUACACUUUGUUGAUGUUGUCAAUAAUCAUUGUACUUUAAAAGUGGUUUUCAAUGUUUGUUGCCAUAAAGUAUGGUUGUAAAAGCAAUGGUUUUUAUAUUUUCUUAAGAAGCUUUAGUACAUUCAAACAAGAAGACGUUAAACUGGCAAACUAAAGUUAAAAAGAUUUUUUAACUGAAUUAUUAAAACUAAAGAAUGUUAAUAAGUAAUAGUGUGAUGAAACAUAACCGUGCUUGAAUAUUCAUACAUAAAACUUCCACCUCGAACCCUAUUGAUGUGUUCUUCAGUUUAUUCAUAAAAUGGCAGAUAACUUGUUUAAGAUAAAAUAAUGUACUACACAGCCAUAUCAUAGCCUGGUUACGAACUUAUAAAAUUCUUUUUAACACUGCUACAAAUAGUCAUUUUUGGUCAUUAUGUUUAUUUGAUGGGAGAAACAAUUUCACAAACCUAUAUCCAGUGCAAAAUUAUGUUGAAUAAUUCUUCAUUAUACAUGAUACGGUGGUCUUUCCCUAUCAAGAAAAAAUCAAGUUUGAGAUAUCGCAACGUGACAACGAAAUAUAUUUUGCUAUGUUGUGUAGUACGUUUUCCAUAACAUGGUACGGAGAAGGUAUCGAAAGAGAAAGUAAUACUGAAAGUUGCCUCAGUGAAAAUCUCACACGUCCUCUUAUUACGCUUACCCCGUAUCCAUAAUUGUUACGUUGUGUGUGUGAGCAUCUUUCGUGAGAACAAAAGAUAAUCGAUCGGUCAAAGUUGAAAACGGAUCUCUUUUAGAGAGUAACCGCAGCAGAUUUUGAAAAAGAACAGCCAAAUAAAAUAGCAAGACAGACCGAGAUAGGCGAAAGAAACUUCGAAAAAAAGUAAUAUGUAUAUUUUUUUGCAGUGUUCAUGCAAAAUUUUAUUGAAAACCUAAUCAUAUACUACUAAAAUACUAAAAUACAACUAAUUUAAUUCCCCUGGCAAACAGAAUUGUGUAACAGUAAGCAAUUUUUCAUGAUUGCAGAAAAGAUUAUCUCUGAAUGCUUGCUGAAACCCCAUUUUUUAUGAAAUUCUUCUAAAGUUUUUGUUACAUAUUGUUAUCUAAGCCAAAACUGAAUCAAAAUUUGUUAAAUAAUGGACAUUUUCUUCAACAAGAUAGGCGGAUAACGAGAAAAAAAGGGUUAUACUUGUUAUAAGUAUAACCAUCUAAUAAAGUAAAACAUCAUUUACACGAAUUCUAACCUGAUUCCUGUCCAUUUUUGAAUCAUAUUAUGAUAAAAAAUAUAUUAUUAGAACUAUAAAAUAUAUUCCUCAUAAAAUAUAACGAUCAACAACAAAUGCCUGCAGUAAUGUAUACAGGUUUAAAAGCCUUUUGUCUACAAAGACGUUAUUUUGUGGUUUCCAUUCGAUAAAAUGGAUUACAUAGUUCAGAAACUAAGCAAAAGAUUGAAAGUUAUUAGGUGUAUUGUAAGCAGACCGUACGCCAGAUGAAACCUCUUAACAGAACGAAACAGAUGAUGUUCGCAUGGAGCUCGCUCAAUAAUGGCUGCGGUGCACACAACCUGACUCACUUUACCCCUGUAAUCUACAGAUGGCUGCGUGAGAUUCAAGUUUUUCCCUUUCUCAUUUUCGUUUCCAUCUUCUUUUGCUCUUCGUUUACUUUCAAGCCGCUGGGAAAUGGAACUGCGCAGAACGAAUGAAACUGUCGGCCAUGUUUGUGUGACAUUUUUCUUGAUGCCAUACUUUUUUCGGUCUCUCGCCCAUUCUAUCUUACUGAAUUAUAAUGUAUCGCCCUUAUAGGCAGAUGAUAAUGCGGUUUUUGGUUCACCGUUUUCGGAACUGUUUCAUCGAAUAAAAAUAAAUAAAAGAUAAAAUUAAACAUUUUAAUGGGAAAAGCUACCUGAGCGCUAGUGAUGCGUUGAACGCAUAUUUUAGUUUGUUUCGGGCGACUAUCAGAAAAGCAAUAAUAUUAAAUGCAGUAACAUGAAUGCAAAAAAUCAUAUUAUACCUAAGAUAAUGUAAUGUAAUAUUUGCUUUAUAACAUAUUCACUGUUGAAAGUCAACUGUUGCUUGCCUAAUAAAUUAAAACAAAAAGAUAUGGAAUUUGCAAACCAUGAAAACAUGUUUUGUUUUUAUUUAUUGGCGAAUAUUUUGUAUUACAUGUACCCUGAAUAUUGUCUAACUUAAUAUGAAAUAUGUUGCUUUUGGCAGUAAACCAUAGAAAGAAGAUGUUUUCCAAUCUGAGACGCGUUUAGUAAGUCAUUCAUUUAAAGACUGCGUACGCAAAUUGUGUAAUGCAACUUCAGGAAAAUAAAUAAAAUAACGUGAUAUGCUUAGCUUAGGACACUAUAAGUAGUUGUUGAACAUCGGUAGAUUCAACCAAGUUUAACAAUUAUCUAAAAAAGGAAACAUGCAUUUUUUUUGGAAGCAUAAAAAAUAGACUCUAACUAGUGUGUAAAGCUUCCUAAGAGAGAGAUAUAUAUAAAUAUAUAAAUUUAUUUUUAUUUCAAAAAAUCUCAUGUGUAUCCUUUGUACCAAGAUUAAUUUUCUAGCCUCAAACACUUGGAGUUUAUCUUUAACGAAAUUUGUUUGAAUAAAGGAGUUGUUUUGACCGUAUUUAAAGGAGACUUAUUGUAUUUUUUUUUUAUUCAGAUAGAAUGGCC